CAGAUUGCAGGCUGCAACUCGCCUGCAUGAAGUUGGAAUUGCUAGUAAUCGCGAAUCAGAAUGUCGCGGUGAAUACGUUCCCGGGCCUUGUACACACCGCCCGUCACACCAUGAGAGCCGAUAACACCCGAAGCCUGUGAGCUAACCGUAAGGGGGCAGCAGUCGAAGGUGGGGUUGGUGAUUGGGGUGAAGUCGUAACAAGGUAAC
rnacentral:rRNA from 1 species